CCAGACUCCUACGGGAGGCAGCAGUGAGGAAUAUUGGUCAAUGGCCGCAGGGCUGAACCAGCCAAGUCGCGUGAGGGAUGACGGUCCUAUGGAUUGUAAACCUCUUUUGUCAGGGAGCAAAGGGCGCCACGUGUGGCGCUUUGCGAGUACCUGAAGAAAAAGCAUCGGCUAACUCCGUGCCAGCAGCCGCGGUAAUACGGAGGAUGCGAGCGUUAUCCGGAUUUAUUGGGUUUAAAGGGUGCGUAGGCGGAACGCCAAGUCAGGGGUAAAAUCGCGGGGCUCAACCUCGGCGAGCCGUUGAAACUGGGUGCCUUGAGUGGGCGAGAAGUACGCGGAAUGCGUGGUGUAGCGGUGAAAUGCAUAGAUAUCACGCAGAACUCCGAUUGCGAAGGCAGCGUACCGGCGCCCAACUGACGCUGAAGCACGAAGGCGUGGGUAUCGAACAGGAUUAGAUACCCCGGUAGA
rnacentral:rRNA from 1 species